rnacentral:rRNA from 1 species
GACGUAGGGCGCGAGCGUUGUCCGGAUUUAUUGGGCGUAAAGAGCUCGUAGGCGGCUUGUCGCGUCGACCGUGAAAACUUGUGGCUCAACCACAAGCUGGCGGUCGAUACGGGCAGGCUGGAGUUCGGUAGGGGAGACUGGAAUUCCUGGUGUAGCAGUGAAAUGCGUAGAUAUCGAGAGGAACACCAGUGGCGAAGGCGAGUCCCUGGACAAGACCUGACACUGAGGCACGAAAGCCAGGGGAGCAAACAGG